UACGUAGGGUCCGAGCGUUGUCCGGAAUUAUUGGGCGUAAAGAGCUCGUAGGCGGUUUGUCGCGUCUGCUGUGAAAUCCCGAGGCUCAACCUCGGGCCUGCAGUGGGUACGGGCAGACUGGAGUGCGGUAGGGGAGAAUGGAAUUCCUGGUGUAGCGGUGGAAUGCGCAGAUAUCGGGAGGAACACCAAUGGCGAAGGCAGCUCGCUGGGACGGUACUGACGCUGAGACGCGAAAGCGUGGGGAGCAAACAGGG
rnacentral:rRNA from 1 species